rnacentral:rRNA from 1 species
GUUUGUAACCUACCUCUGUCUGGAGAAUAGCCCGAAGAAAUUCGGAUUAAUGCUCCGUAACACCAUGAUGAGGCAUCUCGUCAUGGUCAAAGCUCCGGCGGUCAGAGAUGGACAUGCGUAACAUUAGCUUGUUGGUGAGGUUACGGCUCACCAAGGCUACGAUGUUUAGGGGGUCUGAGAGGAUGGUCCCCCACACUGGUACUGAGACACGGACCAGACUUCUACGGAAGGCAGCAGUGAGGAAUAUUGGUCAAUGGGCGAAAGCCUGAACCAGCCAUGCCGCGUGAAGGAGGACAGCCCUACGGGUUGUAAACUUCUUUUGUACGGGAAGAAACACUUCUACGUGUAGAAGCUUGACGGUACCGUACGAAUAAGCAUCGGCUAACUCCGUGCCAGCAGCCGCGGUAAUACGGAGGAUGCAAGCGUUAUCCGGAUUCAUUGGGUUUAAAGGGUACGUAGGCGGAAGAUUAAGUCAGUGGUGAAAUCCUGCAGCUUAACUGUAGAACUGUCAUUGAUACUGAUCUUCUUGAAUAUAGUUGAGGUAGGCGGAAUGUGUAAUGUAGCGGUGAAAUGCUUAGAUAUUACACAGAACACCGACUGCGAAGGCAGCUUACUAAACUAUGAUUGACGCUGAGGUACGAAAGCGUGGGGAGCGAACAGGAUUAGAUACCCUGGUAGUCCACGCUGUAAACGAUGAUCACUCGUUGUUGGCGAUAUAGUGUCAGCGACUGAGCGAAAGCAUUAAGUGAUCCACCUGGGGAGUACGAUCGCAGGAUUGAAACUCAAAGGAAUUGACGGGGGCCCGCACAAGCGGAGGAACAUGUGGUUUAAUUCGAUGAUACGCGAGGAACCUUACCUGGGCUUAAAUGUAGAACGACGGAUCGGGAAACUGAUCCUUCUUCGGACGGUCUGCAAGGUGCUGCAUGGCUGUCGUCAGCUCGUGCCGUGAGGUGUCGGGUUAAGUCCCAUAUCGAGCGCAACCCUCAUCGUUAGUUGCCAGUCGGGUAAUGCUCGGGGAGUGGUAAUGAAACUGCCGGUGUAAACCGAGAGGAAGGUGGGGAUGAUGUCAAGUCAGCACG